rnacentral:rRNA from 1 species
UACGUAGGGUGCAAGCGUUAAUCGGAAUUACUGGGCGUAAAGCGUGCGCAGGCGGUUGUGUAAGACAGAUGUGAAAUCCCCGGGCUCAACCUGGGAACUGCAUUUGUGACUGCACAGCUGGAGUGCGGCAGAGGGGGAUGGAAUUCCGCGUGUAGCAGUGAAAUGCGUAGAGAUGUGGAGGAACACCGAUGGCGAAGGCAGCCUCCUGGGCCAGCACUGACGCUCAUGCACGAAAGCGUGGGGAGCAAACAGG